UUGAAAUGAUCAAUUUCUUUAAUCUGGCGGCCAGACUUUGGCAAAUAUGUUUUUGACUGCAUCAUUUCUGAAACAAUUACUUGUAACACAAUUUAAAUUGUUUAUCCCCCCACCCCUUUGACAGUCUGUUCAUUUUUUUUUAUUAUACAGGUAAUACACAAAUACAGCGUUAUUGUAAAAGAUUCAAGGAAUACUUCUAUCCUGACCUCUUCCAGCCCUGCCCAGUCAGACAUAAUCAUGCACCCUGUCUUUCCCCUUAGAGUUUUUCAGGAUUGUCAAGAAAUGGCAAGAAACCACCUCACUCGUGGUGCUCUGAGGUUGAUUCCGGGCUGACAACAUUAGAAUUACCUGGGUAACUUUUGAACUGGACCUUUCUGUCUUCCACCCUGGGGAUCCUGAGCAGUAGGCUUAUGGGGAGGGAGGUGUUUUU
rnacentral:lncRNA from 1 species